rnacentral:rRNA from 1 species
AGAGUUUGAUCCUGGCUCAGGAUAAAACGCUGCGGCGCACAUAAGACAUGCAAGUCGAACGAACUUAAAUCGAAAGUUUACUUUUGUAAGCGGUUAGUGGCGGACUGGUGAGUAACGCGUAAGUAAUCUGCCUAUCAGAGGGGAAUAACAGUGAGAAAUCAUUGCUAAUACCGCAUAUACUAAUUUUAUCGCAUGAUAGAAUUGGGAAAGGAGCAAUCCGCUGAUAGAUGGGCUUGCGUCUGAUUAGUUAGUUGGUAGGGUAAAGGCCUACCAAGACGAUGAUCAGUAGCCGGACUGAGAGGUUGAACGGCCACAUUGGGACUGAGAUACGGCCCAGACUCCUACGGGAGGCAGCAGUCGGGAAUAUUGCGCAAUGGAGGAAACUCUGACGCAGUGACGCCGCGUAUAGGAAGAAGGUCUUCGGAUUGUAAACUAUUGUCGUUAGGGAAGAGAAAGGACAGUACCUAAGGAGGAAGCUCCGGCUAACUACGUG